GGCGUCGGUAGUGCAAAUGGUUAGAAUACGUCCCCGGAAAGAAUGAAAUACGGGUUCGAUUCCCGCUUCAUGUCA